GAGUUUGAUCUUGGCUCAGAUUGAACGCUGGCGGCAGGCUUAACACAUGCAAGUCGAGCGGGGGAGAUUGCUUCGGUAAUUGACCUAGCGGCGAACGGGUGAGUAAUACUUAGGAAUCUGCCUAUUAAUGGGGACAACAUCUCGAAAGGGAUGCUAAUACCGCAUACGCCCUACGGGGGAAAGCAGGGGAUCACUUGUGACCUUGCGUUAAUAGAUGAGCCUAAGUCGGAUUAGCUAGUUGGUGGGGUAAAGGCCUACCAAGGCGACGAUCUGUAGCGGGUCUGAGAGGAUGAUCCGCCAC
rnacentral:rRNA from 1 species